CCACUGCUAUAGCUGCCAUAGAAGAAAAACAUCAAAAAACUCAGCUAAAAUACUCAUCAACGACAUCAAACAGAGUAAAAAUUAAAACUUUGCGAUUCAUUUACGUACAAUGUAAAACCUUGAAUUGAUGAAAGCAAUGAAACCCCCAAAAAAUCACGUCAAAUUUUAAAACCCUGAACCCAUUUGAAGGAAACGUGAAAGAAACAGAAACCCAAAACUCAUACUCAAGAAGAGAAGACAUUACAAUUCCCAAAAACUCUCAACGAAACUCAAAUUCAAACAACAGAAGAAGAGAAGAAAUUACCAGUGAUGAAAAAGAAGAGUAAG